rnacentral:rRNA from 1 species
AUACGGAGGGUGCAAGCGUUGUUCGGAAUCACUGGGCGUAAAGCGCGUGUAGGCGGCUUUGUAAGUUGGGUGUGAAAUCCCUCGGCUUAACUGAGGAACUGCAUUCAAAACUGCAAAGCUUGAGUACGGGAGAGGGAAGUGGAACUCCUAGUGUAGAGGUGAAAUUCGUAGAUAUUAGGAGGAACACCCGUGGCGAAGGCGGCUUCCUGGACCGAUACUGACGCUGAGACGCGAAAGCGUGGGGAGC